UACGAAGGGGGCUAGCGUUGUUCGGAAUUACUGGGCGUAAAGGGCGCGUAGGCGGUGUGUCAAGUCAGGCGUGAAAGCCCCGGGCUCAACCUGGGAACCGCGCUUGAGACUGGCACGCUCGAGUUCGGGAGAGGAUGGUGGAAUUCCCAGUGUAGAGGUGAAAUUCGUAGAUAUCGGGAGGAACACCCGUGGCGAAGGCGGCUCUCUGGACCAUAACUGACACUGAGGCACGAAAGCCGGGGG
rnacentral:rRNA from 1 species